UUCAGUCAUCACACAGAGAGAGAUGUAGUUAUCACGGCUUCAUAGCUUGAACCAGAGAAGGACUAUCUGCUGAGAAGUAUCACUUCUGAAUAGUUAUUUUGCAGUUCCAUCAUUGCUAGAGGAAAGUAAUUGCACACUUGACAGAACAGACUUUCUCGACUGCUUUAGAUGUAAGACUUAGACACACCAAAAAUGGAGACGAUUUCCAGCAAGGUUUAAUUGAUGGACAGAGCCAUUAAAGGCUGAAGAAGCAAGAAUUAAAAAUGAAACAAACCUUAAUGCAGACUGCUGGGAUGCACUGUAAUGGAUAGAAAUCAAG
rnacentral:lncRNA from 1 species